AUCAAAAUGCAUCUCCUUCCAUUUAUGGUACAUGCAUGAUCAACUACAUAUUGCCAAAAAGGAAUCACAAUUUAUAUUUGUUAAUCCUUUUACAAUAUCAUGAGCAGGCUUUAGUAAUCCUCAAAUAGAGAAAAGAACACAAUUGUUGUCAAAACACUUAAUAGAGUGCCAAGAUGUCGGAUAUGUUUUCAUGCCCUACAACCCCGACUUUCAUUGGGUCUUGGUAGUGAUUGAGCCAAGGAAAAUGAUAGUCCACUAUCUUGACCCUGUGCAUCACGAACCAUGUGAGGACUUAAAGGAUAUCGUAAACAUGUAAGUUCUUCCUAUUAUUGUUCAUAGUAUUAUUUAAAAAAAAAAUUACAUU